CCUACGGGUGGCAGCAGUGAGGAAUAUUGGUCAAUGGACGAAAGGCUGAACCAGCCAAGUCGCGUGAAGGAAGACUGACCUAUGGUUUGUAAACUUCUUUUAUAGGGGAAUAAAAGGUUCCACGUGUGGAUUUUUGUAUGUACCAUAUGAAUAAGCAUCGGCUAACUCCGUGCCAGCAGCCGCGGUAAUACGGAGGAUCCGAGCGUUAUCCGGAUUUAUUGGGUUUAAAGGGUGCGUAGGUGGUUUUUUAAGUCAGCGGUGAAAGUUUGUGGCUCAACCAUAAAAUUGCAGUUGAAACUGGCAGUCUUGAGUACAGUAGAGGUAGGCGGAAUUCGUGGUGUAGCGGUGAAAUGCUUAGAUAUCACGAAGAACCCCGAUUGCGAAGGCAGCUUACUGGACUGUAACUGACAUUGAGGCUCGAAAGUGUGGGUAUCAAACAGGAUUAGAUACCCCUGUAGUC
rnacentral:rRNA from 1 species